GGAAAGAGGAGAGAAGGAAGAAGAGGGAAGAAAGGGGGUAGAACCUGGGAAGAUGGUGGUAAUCUGAUCCAAGCAACACAGUUGGUGCUUGGGCACAAGCAUGUUCCCAUUCUUAGAACUAGAAUCCAAGUGAAGGUUCUAGCGAGAAAAGGGAAUGCUCCUGUGUGUCUGGACAGCCUGGGCCAGAUGAGCACGCUUCUUCAAGUUACCAGGGUGAAAGGCAAAAGCAAGCUGCUUUCUUGCCCAGGAAGCUGCCUUAGGCACCAUGGUCCAGCAGUCCUCUCACCCUGGAUGCCACCUUGAAUCAGAGGAAUUCUACCUGUAUAGAUGUAGAUUACAACAGCUAAAAAAAAAGCUCUGAGAAGAACAGAAACCUCUUCUUCACCUUCCUUUCAAGGACCCGUAACACAUGAAAUUCAACAAACAGGAUGUAGUCCUUGGGGAGAGAAGAGAGAGAAAUACUCAGGAUAAUUAAGAUGAGCCAAACAUUCCAAGCAAGGAGAAUGCUGUAAUCAAAGGAACAGAGAGAGCAAGAAUGGAUAAUCCAAUUUGGCUGAAGCUAAGAAUUCAUCUAGGAGAGCAGUAAGAAAAUGAUUUUCCUAAGCCUAAGACUGAACAAU